UACGGAGGGAGCUAGCGUUGUUCGGAAUUACUGGGCGUAAAGCGCACGUAGGCGGCUUUGUAAGUUAGAGGUGAAAGCCCGGGGCUCAACCCCGGAAUUGCCUUUAAGACUGCAUCGCUUGAAUCCGGGAGAGGUGAGUGGAAUUCCGAGUGUAGAGGUGAAAUUCGUAGAUAUUCGGAAGAACACCAGUGGCGAAGGCGGCUCACUGGACCGGUACUGACGCUGAUGCGCGAAAGCGUGGGGAGCAAACGGG
rnacentral:rRNA from 1 species